rnacentral:lncRNA from 1 species
GAAGCUCUCUUCCGUGGCUUUAUUCGGGAGAUUUUAAUAAUUUAUGCUCGAGAGAUGAGAAAGAAUGAGGAGUAUCUUUGCCAAAUUAUCUUAUGCAGGGGUUUAGACAGGCACUUGAGGAGCAUUUUUGCCAAAUUAUCUUAUGCAAGGGUUUGAUUUUGAAUGAUUGUAAAUCUUCGUUAGACUCUAGAAUUGAUAUUUCUGUU